rnacentral:rRNA from 1 species
AGAGUUUGAUCCUGGCUCAGAACGAACGCUGGCGGCAUGCCUAACACAUGCAAGUCGAACGCGUGGAGCAAUCCACGAGUGGCGGACGGGUGAGUAACGCGUGGGAACCUGCCCUGGAGUGCGGAAUAACCGAGGGAAACUUCGGCUAAUACCGCAUACGACCUACGGGUGAAAGAUUUAUCGCUCUAGGAGGGGCCCGC